rnacentral:lncRNA from 1 species
CCCUCCAAUGUCAACAAGCAAAACGAAAAUAUUUCCAGGGUGAUCGCUCGCAGCUACCCGCUUCCAAUUCGGAUUAGAAGCUGAGGCUGGAGCGGCGAGGAGAAAACGACAUCGAGUCACCCCGCGCGUGAGCGACGCUCUGGAGCAGGAGAGAAGGAAAAGGAAGAGACACACGUAUAUAGCAUGUGUUACCUGAUUUAUUUCGAGAUUGUUUGGUACUGUUUUCUCUCUGGGCACCUCUCAUUUCGGAAGGCCAUCAGAGGCGCCCACUACUGAGCGGCCCCGGCCGCCGCAGCAGCACCCGGAGCCCCAGUCCCGGUUUCCCCGCGGUGCCGGAGCCCGGAGCUCGCCGCCGCCCAGGCCUCAGGAAUCGACUUCUGCCAGACAGAUGGAACUCUCCAGCAUGAAAAUCUGCGCAGCCAUUCCAACAAGCAGGGCUCUGCCUGAGGUUGUCCGAAGGAUGCCGAGGAAAAGGAUAUCAGGACUGGAAUGGCUCUUACAGCAAGAUCCAGGUUUUUCAUUAGUCAAUACAGUGAAGGCUGGCAUGAUCAUCAGCUUCCCAUCCAAUAAUAUCUACUCAUCAGUGUGCUGUUGUCAAUCAGAGAUUUUCAAGUAUGAGUUCUCCAACUCAAAGAAAAGUAGCUGGAUCCAGGAAGAAAGGCAUUUGGGGAAGAACAACGUUCUUUACAGUGCUCAUGAUGUGUCUCCAGAGAAAGUUACUUCAGCACUAAAAAAAACAAACAAACAAACAACAACAAUAAACAACUUUCCUCUACAGUAUCUUCCAGGGUCUAAACUAUUAGACAGGUUCCUAAGUUUAUCCAGAUCUCUCCUAUGUCUGAAUUCUUGGUCAUCUUCCUUGCCUCUGGCUCCACAGGUAAAGAAGAAAUAAUAAUAAAGGAACAAAAAUUAUAU